rnacentral:rRNA from 1 species
GGAAUAUUGGACAAUGGGCGAAAGCCUGAUCCAGCCAUGCCGCGUGUGUGAAGAAGGUCUUCGGAUUGUAAAGCACUUUAAGUUGGGAGGAAGGGCCAUUACCUAAUACGUGAUGGUUUUGACGUUACCGACAGAAUAAGCACCGGCUAACUCUGUGCCAGCAGCCGCGGUAAUACAGAGGGUGCAAGCGUUAAUCGGAAUUACUGGGCGUAAAGCGCGCGUAGGUGGUUUGUUAAGUUGGAUGUGAAAUCCCCGGGCUCAACCUGGGAACUGCAUUCAAAACUGACUGACUAGAGUAUGGUAGAGGGUGGUGGAAUUUCCUGUGUAGCGGUGAAAUGCGUAGAUAUAGGAAGGAACACCAGUGGCGAAGGCGACCACCUGGACUGAUACUGACACUGAGGUGCGAAAGCGUGGGGAGCAAACAGGAUUAGAUACCCUAG